UUAAGCGACUAAGCGUACACGGUGGAUGCCCUGGCAGUCAGAGGCGAUGAAGGACGUGCUAAUCUGCGAUAAGCGUCGGUAAGGUGAUAUGAACCGUUAUAACCGGCGAUUUCCGAAUGGGGAAACCCAGUGUGUUUCGACACACUAUCAUUACGUGAAUACAUAGCGUAAUGAAGCGAACCGGGGGAACUGAAACAUCUAAGUACCCCGAGGAAAAGAAAUCAACCGAGAUUCCCCCAGUAGCGGCGAGCGAACGGGGAGCAGCCCAGAGUCUGAAUCAGCUUGUGUGUUAGUGGAACGGUCUGGAAAGUCCGACGGUACAGGGUGAUAGUCCCGUACACCAAAAUGCACAGGUUGUGAACUCGAAGAGUAGGGCGGGACACGUGGUAUCCUGUCUGAAUAUGGGGGGACCAUCCUCCAAGGCUAAAUACUCCUGACUGACCGAUAGUGAACCAGUACCGUGAGGGAAAGGCGAAAAGAACCCCGGCGAGGGGAGUGAAAAAGAACCUGAAACCGUGUACGUACAAGCAGUGGGAGCCUCUUUAUGGGGUGACUGCGUACCUUUUGUAUAAUGGGUCAGCGACUUAUAUUCUGUAGCAAGGUUAACCGUAUAGGGGAGCCGAAGGGAAACCGAGUCUUAACUGGGCGUUAAGUUGCAGGGUAUAGACCCGAAACCCGGUGAUCUAGCCAUGGGCAGGUUGAAGGUUGGGUAACACUAACUGGAGGACCGAACCGACUAAUGUUGAAAAAUUAGCGGAUGACUUGUGGCUGGGGGUGAAAGGCCAAUCAAACCGGGAGAUAGCUGGUUCUCCCCGAAAGCUAUUUAGGUAGCGCCUCGUGAAUUCAUCUUCGGGGGUAGAGCACUGUUUCGGCUAGGGGGUCAUCCCGACUUACCAACCCGAUGCAAACUGCGAAUACCGAAGAAUGUUAUCACGGGAGACACACGGCGGGUGCUAACGUCCGUCGUGAAGAGGGAAACAACCCAGACCGCCAGCUAAGGUCCCAAAGUCAUGGUUAAGUGGGAAACGAUGUGGGAAGGCACAGACAGCCAGGAUGUUGGCUUAGAAGCAGCCAUCAUUUAAAGAAAGCGUAAUAGCUCACUGGUCGAGUCGGCCUGCGCGGAAGAUGUAACGGGGCUAAACCAUGCACCGAAGCUGCGGCAGCGACACUAUGUGUUGUUGGGUAGGGGAGCGUUCUGUAAGCCGUUGAAGGUGGCCUGUGAGGGUUGCUGGAGGUAUCAGAAGUGCGAAUGCUGACAUAAGUAACGAUAAUGCGGGUGAAAAACCCGCACGCCGGAAGACCAAGGGUUCCUGUCCAACGUUAAUCGGGGCAGGGUGAGUCGACCCCUAAGGCGAGGCCGAAAGGCGUAGUCGAUGGGAAACAGGUUAAUAUUCCUGUACUUGGUGUUACUGCGAAGGGGGGACGGAGAAGGCUAUGUUAGCCGGGCGACGGUUGUCCCGGUUUAAGCAUGUAGGCGGAGGUUCCAGGUAAAUCCGGUACCUUUUAACGCUGAGGUGUGAUGACGAGGCACUACGGUGCUGAAGUAACAAAUGCCCUGCUUCCAGGAAAAGCCUCUAAGCAUCAGGUAACACGAAAUCGUACCCCAAACCGACACAGGUGGUCAGGUAGAGAAUACCAAGGCGUUGAGAGAACUCAGGGUGAAGGAACUAGGCAAAAUGGUGCCGUAACUUCGGGAGAAGGCACGCUGAUAUGUAGGUGAAGUGAUUUACUCAUGGAGCUGAAAUCAGUCGAAGAUACCAGCUGGCUGCAACUGUUUAUUAAAAACACAGCACUGUGCAAACACGAAAGUGGACGUAUACGGUGUGACGCCUGCCCGGUGCCGGAAGGUUAAUUGAUGGGGUUAUCCGUAAGGAGAAGCUCUUGAUCGAAGCCCCGGUAAACGGCGGCCGUAACUAUAACGGUCCUAAGGUAGCGAAAUUCCUUGUCGGGUAAGUUCCGACCCGCACGAAAGGCGUAAUGAUGGCCAGGCUGUCUCCACCCGAGACUCAGUGAAAUUGAACUCGCUGUGAAGAUGCAGUGUACCCGCGGCAAGACGGAAAGACCCCGUGAACCUUUACUAUAGCUUGACACUGAACACUGGUCCUUGAUGUGUAGGAUAGGUGGGAGGCUUUGAAGUGUGGACGCCAGUCUGCAUGGAGCCAUCCUUGAAAUACCACCCUUUAAUGGCUGGUGUUCUAACGUGGACCCGUAAUCCGGGUUGCGGACAGUGUCUGGUGGGUAGUUUGACUGGGGCGGUCUCCUCCUAAAGAGUAACGGAGGAGCACGAAGGUUAGCUAAUCCUGGUCGGACAUCAGGAGGUUAGUGCAAAGGCAUAAGCUAGCUUGACUGCGAGAGUGACGGCUCGAGCAGGUGCGAAAGCAGGUCUUAGUGAUCCGGUGGUUCUGAAUGGAAGGGCCAUCGCUCAACGGAUAAAAGGUACUCCGGGGAUAACAGGCUGAUACCGCCCAAGAGUUCAUAUCGACGGCGGUGUUUGGCACCUCGAUGUCGGCUCAUCACAUCCUGGGGCUGAAGUAGGUCCCAAGGGUAUGGCUGUUCGCCAUUUAAAGUGGUACGCGAGCUGGGUUUAGAACGUCGUGAGACAGUUCGGUCCCUAUCUGCCGUGGGCGCUGGAGAAUUGAGGGGGGCUGCUCCUAGUACGAGAGGACCGGAGUG
rnacentral:rRNA from 1 species